rnacentral:rRNA from 1 species
CAGCAGCCACGGUAAUACCGAGGUCCCGAGCGUUGUUCGGAUUCACUGGGCGUAAAAGGUGUGUAGGAGGUUGGAUAAGUCAGGUGUGAAAUCCCGCAGCUCAACUGCGGAACUGCAUUCGAUACUGUUCAACUAGAGGAUCGGAGGGGGAAGCGGAAUUCUUGGUGUAGCGGUGAAAUGCGUAGAUAUCAAGAGGAACACCGGUGGCGAAGGCGGCUUCCUGGAAGAUACCUGACUCUGAAACACGAAAGCCAGGGGAGCGAAUGGGAUUAGAUACCCCGGUAGUCCCUGUCUCUUAUAA